GCUGAUGGAGUAGCCUCUGUGUGUUUGGGAUGUUGUCAGUCAUAAUGGUGGACACAAAAGAGAUUAUGACAAACCGUGUAUUGUCUCCUACAAUUUCUGCUCACAGAAGUGGACAACAUCACUUCUUUCCACAUUUCAUUGACCAGAGCAAGUCAUGUGACCAAGCCUGAUUCAAAAUAGGCUGGAGCAAGGAGGAGCAGCAAACAUAAAUGACAAAAUUGGGGUCUGGACAUGUGCAAGGACUUUUCCGAAGUCAGCUGGAAAGGUAAUAGAAGACACAAGUUACCUGCUGUAAGAUCCAGGGCCGGAUUCAAUUCAGGCUUUGUUAAUUGACAGAAUGUGAUAGCUAUUUAAUUCAGGCUUUGUUAAUU
rnacentral:lncRNA from 1 species